rnacentral:rRNA from 1 species
GACGAACGCUGUCGGCGUGCUUAACACAUGCAAGUCGAACGGAAAGGCCCUGCUUUUGUGGGGUGCUCGAGUGGCGAACGGGUGAGUAACACGUGAGUAACCUGCCCUUGACUUUGGGAUAACUUCAGGAAACUGGGGCUAAUACCGGAUAGGAGCUCCUGCUGCAUGGUGGGGGUUGGAAAGUUUCGGCGGUUGGGGAUGGACUCGCGGCUUAUCAGCUUGUUGGUGGGGUAGUGGCUUACCAAGGCUUUGACGGGUAGCCGGCCUGAGAGGGUGACCGGCCACAUUGGGACUGAGAUACGGCCCAGACUCCUACGGGAGGCAGCAGUGGGGAAUAUUGCACAAUGGGCGGAAGCCUGAUGCAGCAACGCCGCGUGCGGGAUGACGGCCUUCGGGUUGUAAACCGCUUUCGCCUGUGACGAAGCGUGAGUGACGGUAAUGGGUAAAGAAGCACCGGCUAACUACGUGCCAGCAGCCGCGGUGAUACGUAGGGUGCGAGCGUUGUCCGGAUUUAUUGGGCGUAAAGGGCUCGUAGGUGGUUGAUCGCGUCGGAAGUGUAAUCUUGGGGCUUAACCCUGAGCGUGCUUUCGAUACGGGUUGACUUGAGGAAGGUAGGGGGAGAAUGGAAUUCCUGGUGGAGCGGUGGAAUGCGCAGAUAUCAGGAGGAACACCAGUGGCGAAGGCGGUUCUCUGGGCCUUUCCUGACGCUGAGGAGCGAAAGCGUGGGGAGCGAACAGGCUUAGAUACCCUGGUAGUCCACGCUGUAAACGGUGGGUACUAGGUGUGGGGUCCAUUCCACGGGUUCCGUGCCGUAGCUAACGCUUUAAGUACCCCGCCUGGGGAGUACGGCCGCAAGGCUAAAACUCAAAGGAAUUGACGGGGCCCCGCACAAGCGGCGGAGCAUGCGGAUUAAUUCGAUGCAACGCGUAGAACCUUACCUGGGUUUGACAUGGAUCGGGAGUGCUCAGAGAUGGGUGUGCCUCUUUUGGGGUCGGUUCACAGGUGGUGCAUGCCUGUCGUCAGCUCGUGUCGUGAGAUGUUGGGUUAAGUCCCGCAACGAGCGCAACCCUUGUUCACUGUUGCCAGCACGUUAUGGUGGGGACUCAGUGGAGACCGCCGGGGUCAACUCGGAGGAAGGUGGGGAUGACGUCAAGUCAUCAUGCCCCUUAUGUCCAGGGCUUCACGCAUGCUACAAUGGCUGGUACAGAGAGUGGCGAGCCUGUGAGGGUGAGCGAAUCUCGGAAAGCCGGUCUCAGUUCGGAUUGGGGUCUGCAACUCGACCUCAUGAAGUCGGAGUCGCUAGUAAUCGCAGAUCAGCAACGCUGCGGUGAAUACGUUCCCGGGGCU